UACGUAGGGGGCAAGCGUUGUCCGGAAUCAUUGGGCGUAAAGCGCGCGUAGGCGGCCCUUUAAGUCCGUUGUGAAAGUCAAAGGCUCAACCUUUGAAAGCCGAUGGAUACUGCAGGGCUAGAGUCCGGAAGAGGCGAGUGGAAUUCUCGGUGUAGAGGUGAAAUUCGUAGAUAUCGAGAGGAACACCGGUGGCGAAGGCGGCUAUCUGGACGAUGACUGACGCUGAGACGCGAAAGCGUGGGGAGCAAACAGG
rnacentral:rRNA from 1 species